GAGUGGAUGUCGGCGUCGCAGGCGGCGCAGAGCGCGGCGGCGUCGGCCCUGCACGUGACCGCCGCGGGCGCGUGCUCGCAGACCUCGCAGAGCCACACCCGCGCGUGGCGCGACCCGGGCCCGUGCGCCCGCGCGUCGCACCCGGCGCAGAGGAACGCCGCGUCGGCGCGGCAGAACAGCCGCGCCGCCUCCCCGCCGCACGCGUCGCACGCCCUCG
rnacentral:misc_RNA from 1 species